rnacentral:rRNA from 1 species
UGGGGAAUAUUGCGCAAUGGGCGAAAGCCUGACGCAGCGACGCCGCGUGAGGGAUGAAGGUUUUCGGAUCGUAAACCUCUGUCAGAAGGGAAGAAACCGCACUGUGCUAAUCAGCAGUGCCUUGACGGUACCUUCAAAGGAAGCACCGGCUAACUCCGUGCCAGCAGCCGCGGUAAUACGGAGGGUGCAAGCGUUAAUCGGAAUUACUGGGCGUAAAGCGCACGUAGGCUGCUUUGUAAGUCAGGGGUGAAAUCCCACGGCUCAACCGUGGAACUGCCUUUGAUACUGCUUAGCUUGAAUCCGGGAGAGGGUGGCGGAAUUCCAGGUGUAGGAGUGAGAUCCGUAGAUAUCUGGAGGAACAUCAGUGGCGAAGGCGGCCACCUGGACCGGUAUUGACGCUGAGGUGCGAAAGCGUGGGAAGCAAACAGG